GAAGUAAAAGUCGUAACAAGGUUUCCGUAGGUGAACCUGCGGAAGGAUCAUUAUUGAAUACUCUUGAUGGGUUGUAGCUGGCUCUUCGGGGCAUGUGCACACUUGUCUUGACUUUAUUCAUCCACCUGUGCACCUUUUGUAGUCUUGUGGGUUGAGAGCAGUCGACUAUCGGAUGGCUAUGGCCUUUCCGGACGUGAGGAAUGCUGAGUGCGAAAGCAUACAGCUCUUCUCAAAUGACUUGCAAAACCUCUUCCUCAAGUACUAUGUAUUCAUAUACCACAUAGUAUGUUGUCGAAUGUGAUCAAUGGGCCUAUGUGCCUAUAAAAAUCAUAUACAACUUUCAGCAACGGAUCUCUUGGCUCUCGCAUCGAUGAAGAACGCAGCGAAAUGCGAUAAGUAAUGUGAAUUGCAGAAUUCAGUGAAUCAUCGAAUCUUUGAACGCACCUUGCGCUCCUUGGUAUUCCGAGGAGCAUGCCUGUUUGAGUGUCAUUAAAUUCUCAACCCCUCCAGCUUUUGCGAGUUGUGAUGGGGCUUGGAUAUGGGAGUUUGCGGGUCUUUAUCAAUAAAGGUCAGCUCUCCUGAAAUGCAUUAGCGGAACCGUUUGCAGUCCCGUCACUAGUGUGAUAAUUAUCUACACUGUGAUGAUUGCUCUCUGACUAGUUCAGCUGCUAAUCGUCCACUAUGGACAAUACUUAAUGAACUUCUUGACCUCAAAUCAGGUAGGACUACCCGCUGAACUUAAGCAUAUCAAUAA
rnacentral:rRNA from 1 species